AAAGAAUCUCAGGAACUGUAGCUUGUUAAAGGCGCUUGGAACUUUAACUCUGUUAUUGGUAAACUACAGUUCCCAAGAUCCUU